rnacentral:rRNA from 1 species
GUAAGGAAUAUUGGGCAAUGGAGGCAACUCUGACCCAGCCAUGCCGCGUGAAGGAUGACGGCCCUCGUGGUUGUAAACUUCUUUUGUACGGGAAUAACCCUCCGAACGUGUUCGGAGCUGAAGGUACCGUAAGAAUAAGGAUCGGCUAACUCCGUGCCAGCAGCCGCGGUAAUACGGAGGAUCCAAGCGUUAUCCGGAUUUACUGGGUUUAAAGGGUGCGUAGGCGGAUUGAUAAGUCAGUGGUGAAAGCCUACAGCUUAACUGUAGAACUGCCAUUGAUACUGCCAGUCUGGAGUAUGGUUGAGGUAGCUGGAAUGUGUCAUGUAGCGGUGAAAUGCUUAGAGAUGACACAGAACACCAACGGCGAAGGCAGGUUACCAACCCAUUACUGACGCUGAGGCACGAAAGCGUGGGGAUCAAACAGGAUUAGAUACCCUUGUAGUCC